AUUGAACGCUGGCGGCAGGCCUAACACAUGCAAGUCGCGCGAGCGGCGGACGUGUGAGUAAUGUCUGGGGAUCUCCCUGCUGGAGGGGGAUAACUACUGGAAACUGUAGCUAAUACCGCAUCCCAUCAGAUGAACCCAUAUGGGAUUAGCUUGUAGGUGGGGUAACGGCUCACCUAGGCGACGAUCCCUAGCUGGUCUGAGAGGAUGACCAGCCACACUGGAACUGAGACACGGCCCAGACUCCUACGGGAGGCAGCAGUGGGGAAUAUUGCACAAUGGGCGCAAGCCUGAUGCAGCCAUGCCGCGUGUAUGAAGAAGGCCUUCGGGUUGUAAAGUACUUUCAGCCGGGAGGCGUUACCCGCAGAAGAAGCACCGGCUAACUCCGUGCCAGCAGCCGCGGUAAUAC
rnacentral:rRNA from 1 species